rnacentral:lncRNA from 1 species
AAUUAUACAAAUAAUUCAGCGGCUGCAAAUUGAUGCUAAUACACACGAAUUUGAGAUACAAACAAAACGGCGGCUGGAAUUAAGGUAUAGACAGCAACCAUAGGAGCAGAAAAUUGAAGAAAGUCAGCGGCUGAAAUACAAAUUUGAGGAAUCAUUCAUGUUUGGUCGAUUUUGGGUGAUAUUUUCCCACUUUUCUUUAUUUAAUUUUCACAUUAUGUUAGGUUAAAUUAUUUUGUGCUAGGAUUUG